CGUCACAGCAACCUUGUUUAUAAAGCAGUAUGACUGAGGUCACUCCAUGAGCCCUUCUGACUAGUGCGCCAGGAGGGCAGGAAGGCAGAGGUGGACACGUCACAGUGGCCUCCGUGAGGUCUGCUGGCUCUGCUGUCCCCAACAGGGCAGGGUGCACCACCUCGCCCUCCCAGGCUGAGGGGCCUCGGAGUUCCUGACACAGGCACUGCCAGGUCAAAGCUGCACUCUGCUGAACACAAGCUGGUCCCCAGGGCCAUGUGCCUGGACACCCAGGCGGUCUCAAGCUCGGCCGGCCCACCCCUCCACCCCGCAGGGGCUCCGCUGCCACCGAGGCUCCCGACUCUGAACCUGCCCUGCCUCUCCCUCCUUGCACAUCCAGAGCGGCCCUGGACACCAGACAGACAGACCGGGACACCAGGGCCACACUGGCCAAGGCCUCAGAGAGCGGCUGCCCCGCUGCUUCUCCCCCGAGGACUUCUGCAAGAAGCCUAGGCCUGCAGGACUCCCUUCCCAGGGACACGAAGAGACCAGCUCCGCCACAGCACGACCAUGGCACCCCACAUCCCUGCCACUCCCUCCUGGAGCUGUGUCCACUUGGAACUCAAGUCCCCAAGGCUGUGUCCUCUGGAGUUGGCCUCGUCCCCCACACCAGCAUUGCCGCCUCCCCAAGCAACGCUGGCUCCCCUUGGCCACAGGCUCGCCCAGCACAGUAGGCCUCUGUGGCCAUGACAACACCACCAGCUGAAGCCACCCGUAUGGGCAGGUCCAGCCUCAGGAGUGCCAUGCGCCUGUGACCACAGCACUCCGGAGGCUGAGAUCCUA
rnacentral:lncRNA from 1 species